UAGGCAAAUAGAAGCCUACGGAGUAGCGAGUGUAGUGGGUUUCGUGGGGCAGACUUGGGGACUCUUGGAGGCAGCAGCGACUGCGCACCCUGGGACUGACUGCCAGGCGCAUGGGCCUGGAAGCCGCUGGUGGCAGUCAGGCAUCUGGAACCAGGAUGAGGCUUGAAGCUUUCUAACUAGACCUGUGGGGGGAAAACAGUCAAGAAUGUUGACUGUAAACACAAAGAAACCUAGCAUUUC
rnacentral:lncRNA from 1 species